GUGGUCUUGUCACGUUGCAACACUCGUUCUCGUACGGUUAACGAAGUUAAGCAACGUCAAGCCUGGUCAGUAUCUGGAUGGGUGACCGCUUGGGAAUGCCAAGUGCUGAAA
rnacentral:rRNA from 1 species